AAUGAGGUGUUUAAUAGAAAUAUAAUCUUUUGUGGGAACCUCUCUAUGUAGCCAGUAGCUUUCUUUAUACAGAUGAGGAAUAACUAAUCAUAUAUUUAUGAUGAAACAGAUGACACAAAACUUGAUAACAUAUUUCAUCCAUCAGCUCCAACAUCUAUUUAUUUUCUCAAUUUAACGCACACACUUGUAAGUGAUUUAGUAUCAUUUAUAGAUGUUAUUUGUGAAAAUUCUUCUCUCAUCACAAAAACACAAUUGAUAUUAUCCUUAAAUUCAUUUUUUGUGUGAACACUCCAACGCUUGACAAUAAAAAACGAGAAUAUGACCCCUGAGCUGUUGUUCUUAAUUGGUAUACUUAUAUGUAUCUGGAUUAAUGGAUAUCAAAUCAUGGAAACGGUGAACGCCAUCUCAAUAUUCAGAAGUUAAAAUUCAUU
rnacentral:lncRNA from 1 species